rnacentral:rRNA from 1 species
GCUCAGAGUGAACGCUGGCGGUAGGCCUAACACAUGCAAGUCGAACGGCAGCACAGUAAGAGCUUGCUCUUAUGGGUGGCGAGUGGCGGACGGGUGAGGAAUACAUCGGAAUCUACCUUUUCGUGGGGGAUAACGUAGGGAAACUUACGCUAAUACCGCAUACGACCUUCGGGUGAAAGCAGGGGACCUUCGGGCCUUGCGCGGAUAGAUGAGCCGAUGUCGGAUUAGCUAGUUGGCGGGGUAAAGGCCCACCAAGGCGACGAUCCGUAGCUGGUCUGAGAGGAUGAUCAGCCACACUGGAACUGAGACACGGUCCAGACUCCUACGGGAGGCAGCAGUGGGGAAUAUUGGACAAUGGGCGCAAGCCUGAUCCAGCCAUACCGCGUGGGUGAAGAAGGCCUUCGGGUUGUAAAGCCCUUUUGUUGGGAAAGAAAAGCAGUCGGCGCAGUCGGCUAAUACCCGGUUGUUCUGACGGUACCCAAAGAAUAAGCACCGGCUAACUUCGUGCCAG